GCUGAAGCGAUGCGACGCCCCGUCGCAGUUUAUUGGCGUCAGUAGCGACCCAGCACGGUAGCCAGCAGCGCCAUCCGCACGUACAUGCCCUGCUCUGCCUGCCGGAAGUACGCGGCGCGCGGGUCCGAGUCCACCUCCACGCUGAUCUCGUUGACGCGGGGCAUGGGGUGCAUCACCACCAUCUUCUCCUUGGCCCUCGUCAUGAUGUGCGGUGUGAGGAUGAACUGCCCGAAGCAGGCCUCGUACUCCUCAGCACUCUCGAAUCGCUCCCGCUGGAUGCGGGUCAUAUAGAGCACGUCGGUGUCGGGCAGCGCCUCCUCGAUGCUCCCAAACUCCUCCUGCGAGAUGCCCUUGGAAGCCACGAAGGCGGCGAUGUCGGGCGGCAUGCCGAGGCCGCGGGGCGUGACGUAGCGCAGGUGGACGCGGUACUGCGUGAGCAGGCGGGCCAGCGAGUGCACCGUGCGCCCGUGCUUCAGGUCGCCCACCAUGGUGAUCGUCAUGCCGUUGACAGUGCCCAGCUCCUCGCGGAUGGUGAAGAUGUCCAGCAGUGCCUGCGUCGGGUGCUCGCCCACCCCGUCACCAGCAUUGAUCACGGGCUUGCGGCAGUGCGUGGCGGCCAGCUCCACAGCUCCAGGCUGGGGGUGCCGCAGCACCAGGACGUCGGCGUAGCAGCACAUGGUCUGCACGGAGUCAG
rnacentral:lncRNA from 1 species